rnacentral:rRNA from 1 species
UACGGGGGGGGGCAAGCGUUGUUCGGAAUUACUGGGCGUAAAGGGCUCGUAGGCGGCCAACUAAGUCAUACGUGAAAUCCCUCGGCUUAACCGGGGAACUGCGUCUGAUACUGGAUGGCUUGAGUUCGGGAGAGGGAUGCGGAAUUCCAGGUGUAGCGGUGAAAUGCGUAGAAUAUCUGGAGGAACACCGGUGGCGGAAGGGC